rnacentral:lncRNA from 1 species
AGAACACAACAAUUAAUAUAUCAGAAUGUUAGUAUUUAUUUAGUGCUUUAGACAAUCCACAAUCCUAGUAUGAAUCUAAAAUGACGAGAGGGAUGCAUUGAAUACAACAGACUGGGCAAGCAUGACACGUGUCCAUUUCCAUAUGUCGUUGUAUGAAAAGUCAACUUACUCCAGUUGAUUACCACCAUUCUUUUGUUCUAAUCAAAACAAAACACCUUUCGUGUCUUUUGAGAAACACUUUUAAUUCUUCUAGAACAAUACACAAGAAACUUUACGCAUGGUAAG